GAAUGUGGCCUUCGGGAACCGUGAGACAGGUGCUGCAUGGCUGUCGUCAGCUCGUGUUGUGAAAUGUUGGGUUAAGUCCCGCAACGAGCGCAACCCUUAUCCUUGUUGCCAGCGGUCCGGCCGGGAACUCAAAGGAGACUGCCAGUGAUAAACUGGAGGAAGGUGGGGAUGACGUCAAGUCAUCAUGGCCCUUACGACCAGGGCUACACACGUGCUACAAUGGCGCAUACAAAGAGAAGCGACCUCGCGAGAGCAAGCGGACCUCAUAAAGUGCGUCGUAGUCCGGAUUGGAGUCUGCAACUCGACUCCAUGAAGUCGGAAUCGCUAGUAAUCGUGGAUCAGAAUGCCACGGUGAAUACGUUCCCGGGCCUU
rnacentral:rRNA from 1 species